rnacentral:rRNA from 1 species
UUAGYUAGUUGGUGAGGUAAAGGCUCMCCCAAGGGCGACGAUCAGUAGYUGGUCUGAGAGGACGMCCAGCCMCCACUGGAACUGAGACACGGUCCAGACUCCUACGGGARGCAGCAGUGGGGAAUUUUGGACAAUGGGCGCAAGCCUGAUCCCAGCAAUGCCGCGUGAGUGAAGAAGGCCUUCGGGUUGUAAAGCUCUUUUGUCAGGGAAGAAACGGUAGAGGCUAAUAUCCUUUGCUAAUGACGGUACCUGAAGAAUAAGCACCGGCUAAYUACGUGCCAGCAGCCGCGGUAAUACGUAGGGUGCAAGCGUUAAUCGGAAUUACUGGGCGUAAAGCGUGCGCAGGCGGUUUUGUAAGUCUGACGUGAAAGCCCCGGGCUCAACCUGGGAAUUGCGUUGGAGACUGCAAGGCUUGAAUCUGGCAGAGGGGGGGUAGAAUUCCACGUGUAGCAGUGAAAUGCGUAGAGAUGUGGAGGAACACCGAUGGCGAAGGCAGCCCCCUGGGUCAAGAUUGACGCUCAUGCACGAAAGCGUGGGGAGCAAACAGGAUUAGAUACCCUGGUAGUCCACGCCCUAAACGAUGUCUACUAGUUUGUCGGGGUUUUAAUUAACUUUGGUAACGCAGCUAACGCGUGAAGUAGACCGCCUGGGGGAGUACGGUCGCAAGAUUAAAACUCAAAGGGAAUUGACGGGGACCCGCACAAGCGGKGGAKGGAKGKGGGAUUAAUUUCGAUGCAACGCGAAAAAACCUUACCUACCCUUGACAUGUCAGGAAYCUUCGAGAGAWUCGGGGGAGUGGCCCCRAAAGGGARCCUGAACACAGGUGCUGGCAUGGCUGUCGKCAGCUCSUGKCGKGGAGAWGGGUUGGGGGUUAARUUCCCCSCAACGAGCGGCAACCCUUUGUCWUUARUUUGCUACGCCAARAGMACUCUWAUUGGRGAMUGSCGGGU